AUUGAACGCUGGCGGUAGGCCUAACACAUGCAAGUCGAACGCGAAAGUCCUUCGGGAUGAGUAGAGUGGCGGACGGGUGAGUAACGCGUAGGAAUCUAUCCUGUAGCGGGGGAUAACGUUUCGAAAGGAACGCUAAUACCGCAUACGCCCCAAGGGGGAAAGCGGGGGAUCUUCGGACCUCGUGCUAUAGGAGUCGCCUGCGUCGGAUUAGCUAGUUGGUGAGGUAAAGGCUCACCAAGGCGACGAUCCGUAGCUGGGCUGAGAGGAUGAUCAGCCAGACCGGAGAUGAGACACGGUCCGGACUCCUACGGGAGGCAGCAGUGGGGAAUAUUGCGCAAUGGGCGAAAGCCUGACGCAGCCAUACCGCGUGUGUGAAGAAGGCCUUCGGGUUGUAAAGCACUUUCAGUGGGGAGGAAAAGCUGGUGGCUAAUAUCCAUCGGCCGUGACGCUACCCACAGAAGAAGCACCGGCUAAUUCCGUGCCAGCAGCCGCCGUAACAC
rnacentral:rRNA from 1 species